GGAGGGGUUUUUUCCCGACCAUCCACUUCCCUACAGAUUAUCCUUUCAAGCCCCCAAAGGUUGCUUUCACUACCAGAAUCUAUCACCCUAAUAUCAACAGCAAUGGCAGCAUUUGCCUGGACAUCCUGAGGUCACAGUGGUCCCCAGCACUGACUGUGUCUAAAGGUAAAACAGACUAGCAAGAGAGUGGACACAGAAAUAUGCUAUGUAAGUGCCUCGAAGGCUCCAUGGAAGACCCUGUCCAAGAGAAGCUCGCCCCACAGAGUGACCUUCCUGUGAAGCUCUGAGCUCUUGGCUAAGGCACUCUCGGAACAUCCUGUGUUCACACAUGUGUUGGCACUCACCUCUGUGGCUGCAGCAUGUUGGUGCCACUUUUAGCCAUUGUGGCCUUGACAGUACCACACCUUUGAUACUAAAUCAGCAACCACUGUUAUGAUCUACAGUCUUCCUGGUUACACUAGAAUCUGUCUGGGGAAUCAAGCCAUGCAUGCCUCCUGUACUUGUCCUCAAAUGGUGCCACUACUCACUGUGACACUCUAGAGGGGCCCAGUCUGCCCCCUGACCACCUGCCCUUUGCCUUUAGAGCACAGUGAUUUCCUAGGGGCCCAGACAGAGUGGGCUCUCUUCAUACUUUGUCUGCCACAGAACCAUGUCCUAAGGAGUGCCACUAUGUCCUGGAGGCUCCUAGAAAUUGGAACAGCCUCCCCUGAAAGCCAUCUUCCGCCACGUUCCUCCAUAGUGCUCCAUGCUGCAAACAGCAAGCGAGGAGCAUUGGGGCAUUUAAAGCACAUAACACCCAAGGAAGAAUGGGAUUCUCAGACAAGGGGAGAUUCGGGUUAUGCUUGUGUAUGUAAUGAGGCUUCCUCUACCGUCUUCCCACUGGAAACUUAACGUGAAAUUCAAGCAUAAGCCAUUCACAAACUGGAACACAAGGAAGGAAUGGGAC
rnacentral:lncRNA from 1 species